UAUCUCAAGUGUUUCGAGAAUUCAGUGCGGGGGUGUCUCCUGGGUAUGCUGCUGCUGGUGGGCACCCUGAGGGAGAGGACACAGCCCCAAAACUACCCCACGGCAUGUGCAUUUUCCAGGAGUAUCUCCUCAUAUUUAGUGUGGAACCCAGCUGUUGACUUUCAUUCAUGAUGAAAAUAAUGAGUGGGCCAUAACAUGUGAGGUCAUCAAAUCCUUAAACCUCAAACAAGAAGCUGGCAAAAAAGAAGCAACUUCAGUAUCAUGGAGAGUGGAAAGACC